UACGUAGGGUGCAAGCGUUGUCCGGAUUUAUUGGGCGUAAAGAGCGUGUAGGCGGCCAGGUAGGUCUGCUGUGAAAACUCGAGGCUCAACCUCGAGAUGUCGGCGGAAACCAUCUGGCUAGAGUCCGGAAGAGGAGAGUGGAAUUCCUGGUGUAGCGGUGAAAUGCGCAGAUAUCAGGAAGAACACCCGUGGCGAAGGCGGCUCUCUGGGACGGUACUGACGCUGAGACGCGAAAGCGUGGGGAGCGAACAGG
rnacentral:rRNA from 1 species